GCUUAUGUGCACGAAAAUGCUGGAGAAAGGAAGGCACCCAGAGACGAGGAAGGGCGUAGCAAGCGACGAAAUGCUUCGGGGAGUUGAAAAUAAGCAUAGAUCCGGAGAUUCCCAAAUAGGUCAACCUUUUAAACUGCCUGCUGAAUCCAUGAGCAGGCAAGAGACAACC
rnacentral:ncRNA from 1 species